rnacentral:tRNA from 1 species
GUGGUGGCUCAGUAGUAGAGCGCUUGCCUUGCACAUGUGAGGCCCUGGGUUCAAUCCUCAGCACCACA